UUUUGUUGCACAUCUAAGAAUGGCACCCAAGUUUUCACUUAUUAACAGAUUUGUUUUUUUCCCCCCUAACCAUCACGCCAUCAUGAUGGAGCAGUUCAACAGCAUGUUGAUUGCUUAUAUUUGAAAAUCAGUUCGACGCAAUUUAAUUCUAACCAGAAAGCAAAUAGUUGUCACUUCACUCAUCAGAAUUACAUUUAAAAAAGUUGGACCUCACCAAAAUCCUAGUUCUGCUGUAAAGCGAAAUAUACAUGUGUGGGCUUUGCACAGAGGUGCAUAGAAAGGAAAACUCUAAGUAGCCUUGCGGAUACUCUGGAGAAGCAGAGAGUUUUCCAGUGCUAAAGCUUUAUGUUAUGGGGCUCAGGCUCUGAAACAGACUGACUGGAUCAUUAUAUAGCAGACAUAAAAAGAAACUGGAAACUCCCAGAGAAAAAUCCAUUGAUAUCUGUGUCCUUGGUGUAUGUCAAAUACAAUUCACAAUUCAAAUAUAAUAAUGGCUUCAGAAAUCAUUGUGAUCGUCAUUAGCUUGAGGAAGCAAAGCCUUCAAUAACACAGGCAAGUCAGCUAUGCAUUAUGCAUUUAUGUUUGUUAAUGAGAAACAAAAUCUCUGGCCAGUCUUUCUUCUUGAAUGUACAGGUGCAUUUUCUUACCUCUGUGCAACACGCCAGGUGUUCCAAAUAGGCCACUGUAUGCAAUAAAGGAAUUGGAAAAAAAGAUGCCUGCAAGUAAAGUUUUAAUGAAAUGGACUAUCUGCAAGGUAUGGCUUUGAAAGUGAUUUCAGGAUUCCGCUGUAGCAAGCCUCCUUCUGUCAAACCAGUCAAAAACAUCAUUGGCAGAUAAUGCUGAAAGAGGGAAUAGCUGCAUCUUGGCUCUCACAGAAAAUGCAGAGAAUUUAAUAAUAAUUGAGAAUGAAGUGGACAUAAAUUAAACAAAGAAAUGAUUUAAUGGAGAAAAUGAAACAGAAGCAAGUGUUUUAUUGUCGUUGAGUCUUCAUCCGAAUGCUUUAGUUGGCUAGAGUUUGCUUUCAUAGGCAUAAAGGAAAUCUUAACUUCUAUCUAAUUAAGCUGUAUUUUCUAUGCUUAGCAACAGUUUUCUCAGUAGUGAUCUGCAUACCGUACAUGCUCAGAAAACACUCGGUUUAACUGUAUCCUGUGCAGUCAGCCUUUAUUUAUUUAUUGCAGUGAUAACCUGCACACCUCUGUUUUGAGAGGGAUGGUGAGUUUUAAAUUUGGGUUUCAUCCUUAAGACACAAAAAUAAAUUAUAAAGACAUUAAAAGCCUCAGGGAGCACCAUGCUCGUAUAAAACAGGAGUAACAGGGAGAGAUUUUUAAUUGGCAAAUAAAUUACUAUACUGUACUUCCAUAACAAUAUAUGGAAACUAAGGCUGUCAGUGUAAAGCACAGUGUUGUUUAUUCUUCUCAAUAAUAAAAAAUAGGCAGGGUUUUUUUUUCUUGCAUAUAACACAUACUUGUAGUGUGUACAGUGCCAUUAACUUCUCACAAUAAAUGAAAGAAUUAAAAAGAAUUAGAGAUAUACUGUGAAUGAUGAAAGAGAUGGCAAGUAUCUGUUAAUAUGAUUAUAGCUAUUUUACUGUACAGUCUGUUAGAUUGUAAACUCUAAUGAGUAAGUUCCACUUGACCUCUUGUAUCAAUCAGCAAUAGUAUUUUAAUUGUACAGUUCUGCAGAAUAUGUUUGUGUUUUAUAAAUACAUAGUUUUAAUAACAAUGUUGUAUUCAUUACACCAUAGAAAAAAUAUUAUGUAGUUUAAAAUACUUAUAGCAUGACCCUAUAAUAAAAACAUAUAUCGCAGAGAUGCAGUGUAUAAUGCUGGAUUACCAUCUACAAACACAGAUUUCUCCUCUGUGUGAUAUAACGCUGAGAAAUGCAGAAAAAUUACUUUAUCUUUAAAGAUAUUGGGAGCAAAGAGACACUUCUGGUCAACUUUAAUUUACCUUCAUUCAAAUACUUUAGCAACAUUUCUAUAUAUACAUUGAUACACAGUAUAUCCUGAAGAUGCAUGUUCUGAAGGAGUCCUUAGAAUUCUCUGUAUUAGUGCACUUGUAUAUGGGUAGAAAUUCUUCUCUUUUCACUAUUGGAAAAGGACCUCUGUGUAGUGUUUACAUGACAUGGAGUAAGGGACUUAACAGUAUAAAGUCUGAAUGUAAAUAAGGCAAAUACAUAGCAAGCUGGGGUACACUGGUAAAAACAGAAUAUGUAGGUAGGGCUAAGCAUUUAUUUGCCUGUUAUAUUAAAGUCCCCAAACACAGUAAGGGGUACACAUUAAAAUUGCCCCACCACUACCACCAUUUGUAAAAUCUGAUCAUUUCAUAUACCUUUUCCUAAGAUAUAGAAAAUAUACACUUUUAUCUGCAGUGAAUGCACUUUUUAUUUUCUAAAACUUUUAUUUUUAGAAAUAAACUUUUAUUUCUUGAAAA